AGUGAACGCUGGCGGUAGGCCUAACACAUGCAAGUCGAACGGCAGCACAGUAAGAGCUUGCUCUUACGGGUGGCGAGUGGCGGACGGGUGAGGAAUACAUCGGAAUCUACUUUUUCGUGGGGGAUAACGUAGGGAAACUUACGCUAAUACCGCAUACGACCUACGGGUGAAAGCAGGGGAUCUUCUGACCUUGCGCGAUUGAAUGAGCCGAUGUCGAAUUAGCUAGUUGGCGGGGUAAAGGCCCACCAAGGCGACGAUCCGUAGCUGGUCAGAGAGGGUGGUCAGCCACACUGGAACUGAGACACGGUCCAGACUCCUACGGGAGGCAGCAGUGGGGAAUAUUGGACAAUGGGCGCAAGCCUGAUCCAGCCAGACCGCGUGGGUGAAGAAGGCCUUCGGGUUGUAAAGCCCUUUUGUUGGGAAAGAAAAGCAGCAGGUUAAUACCCCGCUGUUCUGACGGUACCCAAAGAAUAAGCACCGGCUAACUUCGUG
rnacentral:rRNA from 1 species